UUUACUCUUUUUUUCUUCUAUUUUUUUUUCCUUUUUUUUUUUUUUUAGACGAAGAACUACAUAAAUGCAUUGUAAAAUAUAGGAUAUAAUUCAUUGUAAAUAGGGUCGACGACCCUAUGGGUAUUCGCGUCGAUAAACCAAAACCGAUUUAAUGAACGGGUCGUGGCCGAGCAUCAAACCGCGUCAGUCUGCUUUUCUCUUGCUAUCUGGCUAGAGAUAUACGUAGGUAUUAAGCCACGUGCAAAAUAAUGCAUCGUCGUGGUGAUGUCCGCAGCUGUAGCUGCUGCCUGUGCAGCCUGGACACGUAUGUAGCUAUGAGUUCGAAGCUAUUCCAUCCUGUCAUCCUCUCUCUCUCUCUCUCUCUCUCUCUCUGUGUGUCUCUGUCACUGUCUCUCUUUCUCUCUCUCUCUUUCACUUUUUCUCUAUCUUUCUCUCUCUCUUUUGCCCUCUCGAGUUCACUCCUACAUAGGUGGACGUUUACACGCACAGUCGAUAGUUUCUCGACGUUCUCUCUUUCUCUCUUUCUCUCUUUCUCUCUCUCUUUCUCUCUCUUUUUCUCUCUCUACUUUAGGGUUAUAUUUAGGUGAACUCUGGUAUUAUCCAACGAACGUAGAAACGGACGUACAGACAACGAACGUCGCGGAGAGUGCUUUUACCAUCUUGUCCGUUAGAUCCGACGACGGUAGCCUGCAACGACGACGACGACGACGACGACGACGACGACGACAACGACGACAAUGAAGAAGAUAGCCUGCGGCACUCGUUCGAUAGAUCGAUAACAAGUCUCCAAUGAUGCUCUUAAAAUCGAACGAAUCUCCGACACUCCAUGUUUUAACUAUCCAUUCGAUAUACACAGCUCUCGAUCCAACAAAUGAUCACGAUAAUCCAUUAAUCUAAUUAACAGAGAAUAGAGAGAGAGAGAGAAAGAGAGAAAGAGAGAGAGAGAGAGAAAAAGAGAAAUUACAAGAUUCCGAAAGAUAAUACGCAUCAAACAGAUUCUCCUUCAGUGGAAUUGUAUCGAUCGUAUUUUCUUACUACCAUUCUCGUUGGACAGUCUCGCUCUACUGUUACUACAUAGAAUCCGUGGUGUCCGUCUCGAUAAAUCGAUAUGUUCAUCCCGUACGAGCUAAGAGCAUCAAAGGGAAAGAAUAUUUCCCACUCCUAUUUCGAGAUCCAAUCGAUUAUCCAACGAACUACGCAAUUAGUUAGUUAGUCAGUUACGAGAAGGAAAUUUUUACUGUUCCGCUCUGACCCGCUACCGAGAUACAACGGCGGCCAUUUUGUUGGCGGCAGAGCACGAUAUGACGUCACGUGGCCUACAUGAUAACCCCCGCCUCUGGCACCGCUAGCGAACAACGAACGACGAUAGCACUUCGCGGUUCUUCCUUCUUGCUUCUUGCGAAAGAAGCCUACGACGAAACUUUGCGAACGUUUAUGAAACGUUGUAAAUACAUAAAAUUUGAUUAACUUCCCGGAGGAAAGAGGAACGUCAUGUACAGUUCAUAUCAUUUAAAAAGUUAAUAAAAUCCGCCGUUCUGAAAGUUUGAAAGCUACUUUCGUAUGAAAAAUAUUCGUUAAUUUAGCGAAAAAUAUUAACGUCAAUUAAAUAAUUCGGAUGUUCGGUGCACAAAAACAAAAAAAAAAAAGAAGAAAGGAAAAACAGAAAGUAA